rnacentral:misc_RNA from 1 species
GAUGAAGAACGCAGCGAAAUGCGAUAAGUAAUGUGAAUUGCAGAAUUCAGUGAAUCAUCGAAUCUUUGAACGCACCUUGCACCCUUUGGCAUUCCGAAGGGUAUGCUCGUUUGAGUGUCAUUGUACUCUCACACUCUCCGAUCCUAUGGAUUCGGGGAGCGGUGGACUUGGGUGUUGCUGCCUUUCCUUGUGGCUCACCUCAAAUGUGUCAGUGCACCUCUUGGUUGGACAUAGUACGGCGUGAUAAGUGUCUUCGCCGGCACCUCGCAAGAGGGUGGCCGAUCGGGAGCUCUGUGCUUUCAAACCGUCUUCGGACAAUUUCUGACAACUUGACCUCAAAUCAGGCAGGACUACCCGCUGAACUUAAGCAUAUCAAUAAGCGGAGGA